ACUGUCAGUGCUGCAUGAAGAGGAAAGGGGGCCCCGGUCCUACCACCCACCAGCCGCUGCCCAUUGCUUGCUGCAGCUGCUGUCGUACAAUAAAGUGUGCGUGACGACACAAUGUACUGGAGGACAGAGGAGCCGCAGUGCCUGAGGAGCAGCCUAGAUCAGGAGAAGGAGGAAAGCAGAGCGCAGCCAGACAAGAGUAAGAGACACGAGCAAGAGAAGGCAAGAGGAUCCGACACUGAGGCACCAGAGAAGAGACUGAUUAGUUGGACUAGAGAAAGAGGCCGGGAUGGGCUGUGUACAGGAUUCUCUGUGCACACCUA